GAUGAACGCUGGCGGCGUGCCUAAUACAUGCAAGUAGAACGCUGAAGGAGGAGCUUGCUCUUCUGGAUGAGUUGCGAACGGGUGAGCAACGCGUAGGUAACCUGCCUGGUAGCGGGGGAUAACUAUUGGAAACGAUAGCUAAUACCGCAUGACAACAGUUAUUGCAUGAUAACUGUUUAAAAGGGGCAACUGCUCCACUACCAGAUGGACCUGCGUUGUAUUAGCUAGUUGGUGAGGUAACGGCUCACCAAGGCGACGAUACAUAGCCGACCCGAGAGGGGGAUCGGCCACACUGGGACUGAGACACGGCCCAGACUCCUACGGGAGGCAGCAGUAGGGAAUCUUCAGCUAUGGACGGAAGUCUGACCGUGCAACAGCGCGUGAGUGAAGAAGGUGUUCGGGUCGUAAAGCUCUGUUGUAAGAGAAGAACGAUUCAGAGAGUGGAAAGUUCACCCUGUGACGGUAUCUUACCAGAAAGGGACGGCUAACUACGUG
rnacentral:rRNA from 1 species